AGCAGCGGGAACCAGGAUUUCCGCGAAUCCGAUGCUAUCCUUGAGGAUCGGUUCCAGGGCCUGAACCUCCAUGGUGAGGAAGAGGAGGACCUUGAUCUCUCAGGCGAAGUUGAGGAAUUAAUCAAGGAGACACGCUGGAUUGCAAUAUUCAGGGUCCAUACACAAAGACCGUUCAGUCAUGUUGCGCUCUUCAAGGCUAUGCGUAAUGAUUGGGCUCCUACACAGGGAGUAAUCUUCAAGAAGAUGAACAGUAACUGUUUCCUUGCGCAAUUCAUGUGCUUGGGUGAUUGGAAUAGAGUGAUGAACGGCGGCCCAUGGCUGUUCCGGAAUUCAGCGGUUCCGAUUGAGGAAUACGAUGGUUUGACUAAUGUCCAGGAAUACAAGCUUGAUCGUAUACCUGUGUGG
rnacentral:rRNA from 1 species